CAGCCGUAAACUAUGCGCGUUAGGUGUACUGGUGACCACGAGUCACCGGGGUGCCGAAGGGAAACCGUGAAACGUGCCGCCUGGGAAGUACGGUCGCAAGGCUGAAACUUAAAGGAAUUGGCGGGGGAGGCACCACAACGGGUGGGAGCCUGCGGGUUUAAUUUGGACUCAACGCCGGAAAUCUCACCGGAUAGGGCAGACAUAUGAUAGUCGGGCUGAAGACUCUACUUGAUGAUCUGAGAGGUGGUGCAUGGCGUCAGUGACU
rnacentral:rRNA from 1 species